rnacentral:tRNA from 1 species
GCACCCAUAGCUCAGCUGGAUAGAGCAACGGUUUGCGGGGCCGUAGGUCAGGGGUUCAAAUCCCUUUGGGUGUACCA